UGACACUGAUGAAAAAGAAUCACUGAAAUGAAAAAAUAUUGAAAAUAUUUGAAAAUACGAAAAUACUCUGUUGAGAACAUUGCUUCACAUAACGAACAGCUCAUUUGCUAUUCCUGGCUGUUGGAGUCUAGCUCCGUGCUUUUGCAAUAGAUAUUUUAAAAUAAAAGCUAAAUAACAUGUUUGUCUUGUAUUGCGUACUUGAAACAUUUGUGGAAACAAACAAGCACCCUCUCUUUUCAUGUGGUAGUGUCUAUAGGUCUUGAAACUAGUAGAUAGACCGAAUACACAGGGGUUUCACAAACCGUUCUCCAGCAAAAAUCUGCGCAUAGGAGCUGACUCCUUAUCUGCACUUCAAUCAACUGAGCUUAUUGUUAAAGUUUUACAAAGCAACCCAGCAGCAAGGUGAAAGAUGAAGAGAUUAUUGAAUAAUAGAUAAGAAUAUUUUUAGUCAGCUCAGAUGUAUUCAUGUAGCUGAGAACACACUGGGAAAAAGCCCGCAGAAAGGCACUGGCUGGAUUCCAGCAGAGGCAAACCUGCUGUCAGUGCCCCACGAGGGCCGGGGGCCUCCUGGGGCUGGGGGCUCCCCGUGGCUCCCCCAGGGCAGGGCCUGUCCCACCGCCCAGCCAGGAGCAGGGCAUGGAGGCACCGGACACCUCCUUGGGGAUGGGGAUGUUUUUGCUUUCUUUUCAUUCAGAGCUUUAUAAGCUCAGCAAUCCCGCUCUUCAAUUUGUAGCAGCAGGAACUGUAAACUUGUUCCCGAGCUUGUUCCUUCCCAUCGGGUUUCAUCUGCUGCCUCGCACAUGGCCGCAGAGGCAGAGCCGGGGAGAUGAGCAGGGGUGGGAAUGAAAAGGGAUUUCGCUCAGUGAGCUAUCAAGAAACGAAGGGGGCAGUCCACCUGCAGACUUACAGGGGUUGGCAGCACAGCGAGAGCCCACCAGAGAGUAUGCUCCUGCAAUUGCAGACCUAAGGAAGCCCCUGACAGAAGGGUGCUGAGGUGAGCAGGAAGCUCUGCAGAGCAGUGAAUGUCCCCGUAUUCAAAUCGCCCAAGGGCUGCAGUGAAGGUGCCCAUGCUUUAGAUGGGACAAAAGGUGAAAAGUAAAGCCCCAACUUUCUGCCCAGCCCAAACUGCGUGGACAUUUGAGCUGCUGGUGAAUCGACAUGAAUCAGCCCUCUUCUACCACAGAACAUAACCAUGAUGUAAACUGAGGUGAUGCAGCAGCUGACUCAGUCACCUUGCACGUCCAGCAUGAGGCACAGCACCGGGGCAGCAAGCUGCCAGCCACCCCCAAAUAAACGCAUAUAGCCUGGGCA
rnacentral:lncRNA from 1 species